GUCCACGCCCUAAACGAUGCGAACUGGAUGUUGGGCUCAACUCGGAGCUCAGUGUCGAAGCUAACGCGUUAAGUUCGCCGCCUGGGGAGUACGGUCGCAAGACUGAAACUCAAAGGAAUUGACGGGGCCCGCACAAGCGGUGGAGUAUGUGGUUUAAUUCGAUGCAACGCGCAGAACCUUACCUGGUCUUGACAUGUCUGGAAUCCUGCAGAGAUGCGGGAGUGCCUUCGGGAACCAGAACACAGGUGCUGCAUGGCUGUCGU
rnacentral:rRNA from 1 species